rnacentral:tRNA from 1 species
GGAUUUACGCCGGUAGGGGCGUGAGCGUCCCGAUUCAUCGGGAAGGUCAAGGGUUCGACUCCCUUAUUCUCCA